UACGUAGGUGGCAAGCGCUGUCCGGAUUUACUGGGCGUAAAGGGCGUGCAGGCGGUCUGUUAAGUCUAGGGUGAAAGCUCCCGGCUCAACUGGGAGAGGUCCUUGGAUACUGGCGGACUUGAGGGAGGCAGAGGAAAGUGGAAUUCCCGGUGUAGUGGUGAUAUGCGUAGAUAUCGGGAGGAACACCAGUGGCGAAGGCGGUUUUCUGGGCCUUACCUGACGCUGAGACGCGAAAGCGUGGGGAGCAAACAGG
rnacentral:rRNA from 1 species